UCCUGAACCUGAUAAAGGGAAGCUAACUUUGCUCUCUAGUUACUCAGAGAAGGAAACCAUUCCCCAUUUGGCUUGUUGACGACUCGUUAGAUUAUAAACUACCUACCAGCCGACUUUCUUCUGGCUUCACAAUUUGUAUUUCUUUUAGCCUUAUCUUGCACAUUUUGUCUUUUCACCUCUAGCCUGUGUCCAAUGAUCUGCCUAUCAAA